CAACUGAUGCACAGUCAGCUGCUGUUUCUCCCUUCCCCUCCUUUUGCUGCCCUAACUAUUCUCCUUUCGUUUCUUCCCUACACUGCCUCCAUUCAUCCCCCUCUGUACUUUCCCCUUCUUUGCCUCUACUCUGUCAUUCUGCCCUGCACUUUUUCCUCAGGCGGACAUAAAGGCAGGUCCUGUUAGAGGGAGAGGGCUUGUGUAAUUUGCACAUGAGCACCGGAGCUAUUGCUUCAGCUGGAAAGGCAACAUAACAGAAGAGCCACAGACGCGUGCGGGACAAACUCUGAAUUAAGGAGAGGAAGCGGGAAUACCUCUGAGCUGGGAAGGGAGGAGAAGGAGGGAGACCCAGAAAGAGUUUGGAGUUAGGGUGCAGGACGCGGACCAUGCCGGGCUCUGUGGUGAUUCUGCUGUCCCUGUUGGUCCUGUCCACAGGAAGUGAUGCCAGAAGAAUCAGGAAAAGAGGGCUCAACCAUAAGGACUAUGAGUACCCCAACCACCCACAGUCCACGCAGCACCAGAAGAAUGACCGGUGUCCACCGCCACCCCAGAUGCUGCCAGAAAGAGCCUGUGAGGUGCCAGGCUGCCGCUCAGACUCAGAGUGUGAGCGCCACAAACGCUGCUGCUACAACGGCUGCAUCUACGCCUGCCUGGAGUCAGUCCAGCCGCCUCCAGUGUUGGACUGGCUAGUGCAGCCCAAGCCUCGGUGGUUGGGGGGUAACGGCUGGCUGUUAGACGGCCCUGAGGAGGUUCUGCAGGCUGAGGCCUGCAGCACAACUGAGGAUGGAGACGAGCCUCUUCACUGUCCAACAGGCUACGAGUGCCAUAUCAUCAACCCAGGAAACCCUGCUGCUGGCAUCCCUAACCGGGGACAGUGCAUCAAGCAGCGUGGCAACUCCGAUGGACGUGGUCUGAGGCACAAAUACUUCAAAGACUACAAGGACUACUUAGGUAAGUGAGGUACCAGUUCUAACAAUGCAGUAGGCUACGAAAAACAUCAUCACAAGCACCUGGGAUGAAAUCAACCUGACCUCAGCCUCAGCUACGACCAUAACACAACCUCAGACAUCAGCCCAGUCCUGUUCGAUCUGCUCUCAUCACACCCGAACCAGGAUCAGACCUGACCUUUCUACCAGACCUACAGCUGCUACCUCCUCUUUGCAAAGCCCCCUCUUGCAACCUCACUCAUAAGGUCCUUUGGGAGACAAGUCUGACGUACCUGCAGUACACAGCCAAAGAAUUAAGUGUGGGGUUUUUUUUGUCUCUCUGUCUGGUGUCUGUGAAAGGAUGGAGCAGAGGGUGUUGAUGGUGAAGCAGAGGUGAGGAGAGCAGGGUGUACACCAAAGCUGUUUAUCUAGUGACAUCUUUUUCUUUCUUUACAACUCUCUCACGCUCCCUUUAACUCAUUCUCACACAAAAACACACUCUCCUUAGCUUAAGGCUGGUCAACAGAGAAAAUCAAGACCAUGUGGCCCUGUUACUCAUUCUGUCUGUGCUCAAAUUUCCUGAACUGAAAUCUGGAAAGUUUUAUGGACAAACAGGAAAAUAUCCAGCUGUAGUGGUUGUAUCUUUAAAUCAAAUCCAAUUGUGCUUUAAUAUUGUAACUAAUAACUUUAAAGAAUAAAUGCCAUAUGGGUGUGUGGAUUGUGUCAGUUUCAAAGGAUCUGGAACAGCUGUAGAUGAGUUCCAGCUGACAGAUGCCGACUGUGAUUUCAUUGCUAUGAAAAACAAAAGUAAAACACGAUAAAAGAGUUAACUCUUAAGGUAAAGUGUUUAAAGAUGAAAAGACUGAUUUGGUGUGAAUCAUCCCUUUAAAAAUAAACUCUUUAUGUACAGUAAUAUAUCUGUAAUUAAUUUCCCAAAAGAAUUUACUGAAGAGACAUUUUUGAAUGAAACAAUUUACACAACAAAUAUCUACCUGUGCAGUGUAUGAUUAUUCAGUCAUUUCAUAAUCUUGAACACUGCAUAAUGUCUAAAUAAUCCAGUGUUUCUAUUAAACCUCACACUAUCAACCCCUGGUACAGCACAGACAUGAUGAUAAAAAGGGCUUUUGCACAGAGAAGAUAUUUAAAACUGCUGAAAAGAUCUGUGUUAUUCUUAAACUGACCUUGCUUCAGUCAUCUGUUCGACCCAAGUUGUCUCCGUUAUCAGUUCAAAUGGUGCUCAGUUUCAUUGCUGCCUAUAAUAACAGACAAAUAAGCUGGUCACAUAAUAAGCUGAAGGUGUAAAACAAAAGCUGGGACCAUUAGUGCAGAACUAAAGUGAUGUCUGAAUGUUGCUUUCUGACUGGUGCUGUAAUGUUGCCUUGUUUAUUCUAAAUAAACCACAUUGUAUAACUGUC